AUUGAACGCUGGCGGCAUGCCUUACACAUGCAAGUCGAACGGCAGCGCGGGGCAACCUGGCGGCGAGUGGCGAACGGGUGAGUAAUAUAUCGGAACAUACCCUAGAGUGGGGGAUAACGUAGCGAAAGUUACGCUAAUACCGCAUACGCACUAAGGUGGAAAGUGGGGGAUUCGCAAGAACCUCAUGCUCAUGGAGUGGCCGAUAUCUGAUUAGCUAGUUGGUGAGGUAAAGGCUCACCAAGGCAACGAUCAGUAGCUGGUUUGAGAGGAUGAUCAGUCACACUGGAACUGAGACACGGUCCAGACUCCUACGGGAGGCAGCAGUGGGGAAUAUUGGACAAUGGGCGAAAGCCUGAUCCAGCAAUGCCGCGUGAGUGAUGAAGGCCUUAGGGUUGUAAAGCUCUUUUACCCGGGAUGAUAAUGACAGUACCGGGAGAAUAAGCCCCGGCUAACUCCGUGCCAGCAGCCG
rnacentral:rRNA from 1 species